rnacentral:lncRNA from 1 species
CAGGGACCCCAGCUGCCUCUGAACGGCUCCUUCCAGAAGACCGAGGACCUUCCCUCCUGCGGCAGAAGGCUGUGACCUGCACAGAACUGGCCACAGAUACUCAGAGGCCAGCGUGUCAAAUGUCAGUCACAUUCAGGACUCACCUACAUGGCCCAGGAGAAGGGGGCUGGCAUAAGCCUGCACCAACAAAGUGGGUGGCGCCUAAUACCCAGCGGAUGUGGAUGGGAAGCUCCCAGCACGGGCUCCUGAAGGACCCCGCAGAGGUAGAACUCGGAGCAGUGCCUCUGCCCUGGUGGCACAAUGCUUUUGCUUUGUAUUGAUAUUUUGUUUUU